CACGGAGUUAGCCGGAGCUUAUUCUCCCGAUACUGUCAUUAUCAUCUCGGGUAAAAGAGCUUUACAACCCUAAGGCCUUCAUCACUCACGCGGCAUUGCUGGAUCAGGCUUUCGCCCAUUGUCCAAUAUUCCCCACUGCUGCCUCCCGUAGGAGUCUGGGCCGUGUCUCAGUCCCAGUGUGGCUGAUCAUCCUCUCAGACCAGCUAUGGAUCGUCGCCUUGGUAGGCCUUUACCCCACCAACUAGCUAAUCCAACGCGGGCCCAUCUAAAGGCGAUAAAUCUUUGGUCCGAAGACAUUAUCCGGUAUUAGCUCAAAUUUCUCUGAGUUAUUCCGAACCUAAAGGCAGGUUCCCACGCGUUACGCACCCGUGCGCCACUAGACCCGAAGGUCUCGUUCGACUUGCAUGUGUUAGGCAUGCCGCCAGCGUUCGUUCUGAGCCAGGAUCAAACUCU
rnacentral:rRNA from 1 species